rnacentral:rRNA from 1 species
AUUGAACGCUGGCGGCAUGCCUUACACAUGCAAGUCGAACGGCAGCACGGGGCAACCUGGUGGCGAGUGGCGAACGGGUGAGUAAUGCAUCGGAACGUACCUUUCAGUGGGGGAUAACGUAGCGAAAGUUACGCUAAUACCGCAUAUUCUGUGAGCAGGAAAGCAGGGGAUCGCAAGACCUUGCGCUGAUUGAGCGGCCGAUGUCAGAUUAGCUAGUUGGUGAGGUAAAGGCUCACCAAGGCGACGAUCUGUAGCGGGUCUGAGAGGAUGAUCCGCCACACUGGAACUGAGACACGGUCCAGACUCCUACUGGAUGCAGCAGUGGGUAAUUUUGGACAAUGGGGGCAACCCUGAUCCAGCCAUGCCGCGUGAGUGAAGAAGGCCUUCGGGUUGUAAAGCUCUUUCGGCCGGGAAGAAAUCGCACGGGCUAAUACCCUGUGUGGAUGACGGUACCGGAAUAAGAAGCACCGGCUAACUACGUGCCAGCAGCCGCGGUAACAC